rnacentral:lncRNA from 1 species
GGGCAAGGUUAAAUGAAAACUCGAAGCUUCUAGUUUACCAGCUGCUUAUUUUGCUGUGAUUAACAUAAAAAAAAACAUGCACUGACUGGAACUCUUGUGGAACCAAGAGUGUGGCCUGAACUGAGUGACUCCAAGCUGACAGUUCCUAUUGAGAAAAUCACAACUCCUGCCCAAAGUUCUCCUGAGAUUAUCCAGUGUAAAGCAAAACAAAAAACAAAAAACAAACAAACAAACAAACAAAAAACCCCUGCAUCUUGGCAUGGCCGCUGUUGCCCAGUAACCAAGAAAGCUGUGAAGCAUCAAUCUUGA